rnacentral:misc_RNA from 1 species
GAUGAAGAACGUAGCAAAAUGCGAUACGUAAUGUGAAUUGCAAAUUCAGUGAAUCAUCGAGUCUUUGAACGCACAUUGCGCCCCCUGGUAUUCCGGGGGGCAUGCCUGUCCGAGCGUCAUUGCUGCCCUCAAGCACGGCUUGUGUGUUGGGCCCCGUCCUCCGAUCCCGGGGGACGGGCCCGAAAGGCAGCGGCGGCACCGCGUCCGGUCCUCGAGCGUAUGGGGCUUUGUCACCCGCUCUGUAGGCCCGGCCGGCGCUUGCCGAUCAACCCAAAUUUUUAUCCAGGUUGACCUCGGAUCAGGUAGGGAUACCCGCUGAACUUAAGCAUAUCAAUAACGGAGGA